CCUCAUUUGAAUAGUCAAUUGGGUGUAACCAUACAUCUGCGCCUCACUUGAAUACACCAACCAUGCAUCUGCUUCUGUAAGCCUGCUUCUGCUCCCCAAUACCCUAUAAAAACCCGUCCCUGGUUCUGUUAGGUGCGCCAGUCUUCCGAAUUGACUGGGACGCCCACAGAUACCUGUGUAUCUUGAUCAAUAAAAAUCCUCUUACAGAUUACAGCCUGUGGACUCAGACUGGUCAUUGGGCUAGAAGAUCUCCCUCCUGAGGGAAGAUUCUCUCUGAGAGUCUUACAUAUGGGGGCUCGUCCGGGAUCGGAGAUCCUCUGCCUAGAGACCGCCAACCACCCACCGGGAGGCUAAAAGACCUACAGGUGAUACGGAAAGAAGUCUGGUCACAGCUGGCAGCAGCCUAUGCCCCGGAGACCCCUGAGACAUCUCAUCAGUCAUCAGUUCCAGGUCAGAGACUACAGCUACACUGAGCCCAGACACUCGAGCCUCACUAGAAAGGACCGUACCUGGUGCUGCUGACCACCCUGACAGCCGUCAAGUCUCAGCCUUCACCAGUCGAGUACUAGCUGUUGGGGCUGAGAGCCGGGACCUAGAGGGACACUCAGGAUGUUUGCCCUGGGUUCCCUCAGAAUAGGUGUAAGGAUAGGCUUGAUUUUUAUUGCAAAUGAUAUAACAUUACAUAUAUUAGUACUCCUAACACUUCUUGGGACUGUGCCUCAGGGAUCACAACCUAUAUAAGUUUAAAAGUUCUAAAAGACCUUGGUGUAUAGGUUCAGAUCGUGUCCAGAUUAAAAUCCUGAUGCUAAAGACUUAACAAGACACAAAAGAGAGUUGAAAAUUAUUUAAGGCUAUCUAGGUGCUACAAGGGCAGCACAAGGACAUCUGCUGUUGCCCUACAACACAAGGCUUAUAGGGAAUUCAGAACUGCCAUUGACUCAAAUAUAAAAAAAGAGUAAAAAAGAUUUUUUAGCUGACCUCCAAGAAUACCUAACCUCCCUCUCAGAGGUAGUCCUUCAAAAUAGGAGAAGAUUAGACCUGGUAUUCCUUAAAGAAAGAGUCUGUGUGCUACACUAAAAGAAGAAUGUUGCUUCUAUACAGAUCAGACAAGAAUAGUAAGAGAUACAGACUUUCAGUCAUUCAAACUUUUGUGCUGAGACAACAGUAUCAGAUGGUGAAACAACAAAAAAACAGAGGUACCUUAACCAAGUUGAGUGGAAGAUUCCACUCAAGGACAAAAAGAAAAUGGGGGAAUGAAAGACCCCCUCCCAGAAAGGGAAUUGUACAAGCCCAAGGCCCUCAACUGUAGAAGUAAAAAAUAAGUUUUUAGAUACACAGACUCAGAACUAAAAUAAGCCUGGGAAAGUUCAGAUGUGUCCAAGCUUUGUGGUACAAGCUGACCCAUCAUUUAGACGAAACAGACCAUAAAAGAAGACAAAAUACAGAAACCAGUCUAAAUUAUUGGUAUUGCUUUAUGGGCCACCUCACAAGAGAUAAGCCCCUAGCCCCUGACAUUCCGGACGCCCCAACCUACACGUAUUCUCUUGCUGUGUGACAACCUCAUUUGAAUAGUCAAUUGGGUGUAACCAUACAUCUGCGCCUCACUUGAAUACACCAACCAUGCAUCUGCUUCUGUAAGCCUGCUUCUGCUCCCCAAUACCCUAUAAAAACCCGUCCCUGGUUCUGUUAGG
ensembl:lncRNA